AUUAAUUUGGCUUUGGUUAUAAUAUAAGCUAUUAUUAGGUUAAUAUAUGUUAGAUUUUUAAUAUGGUCGUUUUACUUAUUUAUAUUGUUAUUUAUUUUGUUUAAUAUAAAUUUAGUAGCAAAUAUUAUUUUUAGUAUUUUUAUUAUGAUAAUAAGAAUAGGUUACGCAGUAUUUAUUAUUAUACAAUGAAUGAAAGUUUGAUAUAGUUAGUGUAAAUAAAAGUGGUUAAAUUGGUGCCAGCAUCUGCGGUUAUACUAAUGCUUUAGGUUUAUAUUUAUAUAGUGUAAAAUAAAGUAAUAUUUAAUGAUUAUAUUAGAAUAAUUAAGAGCAUAAAAUUGUAGGUAAAAUUUAAUAACUGUUAUUAAUUAUAUUAUUCUGAUUGUAAAAUCUUUGAAAAUAAGAUUGAAAACUAGGAUUAGAGACCCUACUAUUCUUUAUUUUAAAAAUUUUUAUUACUUAAGUAGUGUGAACAGUUAUUUUAUGGGAAAUAAUUAUAAUAUUAUUAGAAUGUUUGAAACUUAAAAGGCUUGGCGGUGUUAUAUGUCCUUCCAGGGGAGCUUGUUUAUUAAUUUGAUAAUCCCCAAUUUAUACUUACUUUUUUUUGAAUAGUUAAAUAAAUCAGUUUGUGUAUUGCUGUCAUCAGUUUAUUUUGUAAAAAUUUUAUAAGAAACUUAAUAAUAAAUUAAUUGUAAUGUCAAGUCAAAAUGCAGCUAAUAAAAGAGGUUUAUAAAGUGAGCUACAUUUUAUAAUAUUUAAAUCAAUUAAAUUAUGUAAUUAGUUUAUGAAAUUGGACUUGGUAGUAAUAUUAUAAUAGUGAGUUUUUAUGAAUUAGGUUUUAUAACGCGUACAUAUCGCCCGUCGCUCUUGUUGGAAAAUAAGAUAAGUCGUAACAUAGUAGAUGUAGUGGAAACUGUUUCUGGAGUAUACA
rnacentral:ncRNA from 1 species